UACGGGGGGGGCAAGCGUUGUUCGGAAUUACUGGGCGUAAAGCGCGCGUAGGCGGCUUUUCAAGUCAGACGUGAAAGCCCCAGGCUUAACCUGGGAACUGCGUUUGAUACUGUUGAGCUAGAGUGUGGAAGGGGCUACUGGAAUUCCGUGUGUAGCGGUGAAAUGCGUAGAUAUCAAGAGGAACACCUGAGGUGAAGACGGGUUGCUGGGCCAACACUGACGCUGAGGCGCGAAAGCCAGGGGAGCAAACGGG
rnacentral:rRNA from 1 species